AUUGAACGCUGGCGGCAGGCCUAAUACAUGCAAGUCGAACGAGAGGCGGACGGGUGAGUAAGGGCUGGGAAACUGCCUGAUGGAGGGGGAUAACUAAUGGAAACGGUAGCUACUACCGCAUACCAUCAGAUGUGCCCAGAUGGGAUUAGCUUGUUGGUGGGGUAACGGCUCACCAAGGCGACGAUCCCUAGCUGGUCUGAGAGGCUGACCAGCCACACUGGGACUGAGACACGGUCCAGACUCCUACGGGAGGCAGCAGUGGGGAAUAUGGCACAAUGGGCGAAAGCCUGAUGCAGCAAUGCCGCGUGUAUGAAGAAGGCCUUCGGGUUGUAAAGUACUGUCGGCGGGGAGGCGUUAUCCGCAGAAAAAGCCCCGGCUAACUCCGUGCCAGCAGCCGCGGUAAUAC
rnacentral:rRNA from 1 species